rnacentral:rRNA from 1 species
AUUGAACGCUGGCGGCAUGCCUUACACAUGCAAGUCGAACGGCAGCACGGGAGCUUGCUCCUGGUGGCGAGUGGCGAACGGGUGAGUAAUGCAUCGGAACGUGCCCUGAAGUGGGGGAUAACGUAGCGAAAGUUACGCUAAUACCGCAUAUUCUGUGAGCAGGAAAGCAGGGGAUCUUCGGACCUUGCGCUUUUGGAGCGGCCGAUGUCGGAUUAGCUAGUUGGUGGGGUAAAGGCCCACCAAGGCGACGAUCCGUAGCGGGUCUGAGAGGAUGAUCCGCCACACUGGAACUGAGACACGGCCCAGACUCCUACGGGAGGCAGCAGUGGGGAAUUUUGGACAAUGGGCGCAAGCCUGAUCCAGCCAUGCCGCGUGAGUGAAGAAGGCCUU